CCUAGCCUGGUAGCGGGGGAUAACUAUUGGAAACGAUAGCUAAUACCGCAUAAGAGUAGAUGUUGCAUGACAUUUGCUUAAAAGGUGCAAUUGCAUCACUACCAGAUGGACCUGCGUUGUAUUAGCUAGUUGGUGGGGUAACGGCUCACCAAGGCGACGAUACAUAGCCGACCUGAGAGGGUGAUCGGCCACACUGGGACUGAGACACGGCCCAG
rnacentral:rRNA from 1 species